UGGGGAAUAUUGCACAAUGGAGGAAACUCUGAUGCAGCAACGCCGCGUGAGCGAUGAAGGUCUUCGGAUCGUAAAGCUCUGUCUUUAGGGAUGAUAAUGACAGUACCUAAGGAGGAAGCCACGGCUAACUACGUGCCAGCAGCCGCGGUAAUACGUAGGUGGCAAGCGUUAUCCGGAAUUAUUGGGCGUAAAGGGAGCGUAGGCGGAUAUUUAAGUGGGAUGUGAAAUACUUGGGCUCAACCCGAGUGCUGCAUUCCAAACUGGAUAUCUAGAGUGCAGGAGAGGAGAGUGGAAUUCCUAGUGUAGCGGUGAAAUGCGUAGAGAUUAGGAAGAACACCAGUGGCGAAGGCGACUCUCUGGACUGUAACUGACGCUGAGGCUCGAAAGCGUGGGGAGCGAACA
rnacentral:rRNA from 1 species